GACGAUGCGUAGGGGUUCUGAGAGGAAGGUCCCCCACACUGGUACUGAGACACGGACCAGACUCCUACGGGAGGCAGCAGUGAGGAAUAUUGGUCAAUGGGAGAGAUCCUGAACCAGCCAAGCCGCGUGAGGGAAGACGGCCCUAUGGGUUGUAAACCUCUUUUGUCGGAGAACAAAACCCGGGACGAGUCCCGGACUGCGUGUAUCCGAAGAAAAAGCAUCGGCUAACUCCGUGCCAGCAGCCGCGGUAAUACGGAGGAUGCGAGCGUUAUCCGGAUUUAUUGGGUUUAAAGGGUGCGUAGGCGGUCCGUUAAGUCAGCGGUAAAAUUGCGGGGCUCAACCCCGUCGAGCCGUUGAAACUGGCAGACUUGAGUUGGCGAGAAGUACGCGGAAUGCGCGGUGUAGCGGUGAAAUGCAUAGAUAUCGCGCAGAACUCCGAUUGCGAAGGCAGCGUACCGGCGCCAGACUGACGCUGAGGCACGAAAGCGUGGGGAUCGAACAGGAUUAGAUACCCUGGUAGUCCACGCAGUAAACGAUGAAUGCUGGUUGUCCGGGUCGAA
rnacentral:rRNA from 1 species